CCUGGUUGAUUCUGCCAUUAGUCAUAUGCUUGUCUCAAAGAUUAAGCCAUGCAUGUCUAAGUAUAAGCAACUUUGUACUGUGAAACUGCGAAUGGCUCAUUAAAUCAGUUAUAGUUUAUUUGAUGGUUUUUGCUACAUGGAUAACUGUGGUAAUUCUAGAGCUAAUACAUGCAUUCAAGCCCCGACUUCUGGAAGGGGUGUAUUUAUUAGAUAAAAAUCAACUUUGUUGGUGAAUCAUAAUAACUUCUCGGACCGCAUGGCCUUGUGCUGGCGGUGCUUCAUUCAAAUAUCUGCCCUAUCAACUGUCGAUGGUAGGAUAGAGGCCUACCAUGGUUGCAACGGGUAACGGGGAAUAAGGGUUCGAUUCCGGAGAGGGAGCCUGAGAAACGGCUACCACAUCCAAGGAAGGCAGCAGGCGCGCAAAUUACCCAAUCCCAACACGGGGAGGUAGUGACAAUAUGUAACAAUAUACGGCCUUAUACGUCGUAUAAUUGGAAUGAGUACAAUUUAAAUCCCUUAACGAGGAACAAUUGGAGGGCAAGUCUGGUGCCAGCAGCCGCGGUAAUUCCAGCUCCAAUAGCGUAUAUUAAAGUUGUUGCAGUUAAAAAGCUCGUAGUUGGACCUUGGACCUGGACAGGCGGUCCGCCUCACGGCGAGUACUGUCUUGCUGGGUCUUUCCUCUUGGUGAUCUGUUGUUUCGGCAGCAGGGAACCAGGACCUUUACUUUGAAAAAAUUAGAGUGUUCAAAGCAGGCUCGACGCCGGAAUAUAUUAGCAUGGAAUAAUAAAAUAGGACGUGCGGUUCUAUUUUGUUGGUUUUUGGAAUCGCCGUAAUGAUUAAUAGGGACAGUCGGGGGCAUUAGUACUCACAUGCUAGAGGUGAAAUUCUUGG
rnacentral:rRNA from 1 species